rnacentral:rRNA from 1 species
UGAGGAAUAUUGGUCAAUGGGCGGGAGCCUGAACCAGCCAAGCCGCGCGAGGGAGGAAGGCCCUAUGGGUCGUAAACCUCUUUUGUCAGGGAACAAAAAGCGAGUAUGUAUACUAGUCUGAGUGUACCUGAAGAAAAAGCAUCGGCUAACUCCGUGCCAGCAGCCGCGGUAAUACGGAGGAUGCGAGCGUUAUCCGGAUUUAUUGGGUUUAAAGGGUGCGUAGGCGGCGGUGCAAGUCAGCGGUAAAAGCCCGGGGCUCAACCCCGGCGAGCCGUUGAAACUGCAGUGCUAGAGAAGGCGAGAGGUACGCGGAAUGCGCAGUGUAGCGGUGAAAUGCUUAGAUAUUGCGCAGAACUCCGAUUGCGAAGGCAGCGUACUGGCGCCUGACUGACGCUGAGGCACGAAAGCGUGGGGAUCGAACAGGAUUAGAUACC